rnacentral:misc_RNA from 1 species
UGUGACCUUUGUGUAAUAAUUUUAUCAAACAAACAAACAAAAAAAAUCAUGUGUAUAACAAGUGUUUCUUCUCCUGAACACUGCUAAUUUACACUCAACAAUUUAAUGAGAUACAACAAGGCAUAAAUACAAACCUAAGCUAUCCUUUGGAUAGCAAACAAAAAAAAGAACCCCGCAACCCAGAGAGAAUCCACUCUGAAGCCCUAAAGAAUAUGAUAUUUUUCACAAAAAAAGAAAAAGAAGAUGCACAAAGAUCAAAAUCACCAUGUCAUCUCCGUGAAGGUUCCAAGAUUGGGUUCAUUUCUAUUUCUACAGCUCCAAACUCUCUUCUGCUCCCAAACUUCUCAGCCUCUCUUGUAAUCUGAAUGUCACUAGGACUAAAGUGUUGAUAUAGUACUUUUACAACAAAUCGAGGAAGGAGUGCUGCCACAACUAUAGCUAUAGCAAGCAAAGCCAGAAAGAUCCUUCCUUUGCGAUAUCAAAGAUCGCCCAGUAUCCAACUAAAGUAGGCACAGCAUCAAGGACAAUGACACAAAUGAAAGUCGCAACUAUAGAUCCCCAAAUGGCUACAUGAGUAAUCCAACUCCACCGGAUGACGUCCAUGGCCAAGUGCAAAUUAACNNNNCACUGCAAGCGUCCAAAGAUCUCCUAUACUCGGUGCAUCAAUUGUGCUCCCCCAAUACGCAAGGUGAGGGAUAAAAUAGAUAACCACACUUUGCCACAAAGUGUCAAUCAUCGUUAGCCAAAACAAUUUAGAGUUGUAGCUCUCUUGUCUGCGCUCAGCUCCAUAAAGCUGCGGAUACUUUAGAAGAGUUCUUCUACUUAAGUCCUUAUCCAGAAUACCGACUACAAUGGUAGGCAGUGAAGUAUAAAUUAUAGAAUACAACAUGCUGCUCCAUUCAUUGAUAGCUGUUGUCAAAGUAAAACAGGUAAAGAGCACGUACCAAAAUAAAACAAGAACAAACACCGCAUUCCUGUAAAAAUUAUAUAGUAUCAUGCAGCCCAUCCGCUGGUAAUUCCAAUGUCCAUGCACCAAUAACAGUGGAACUAAGAAUCUAAAUUGCCCCAUUGCAAAAUCUGAUGCCAUUACAGCUUGCCGACCCUCUUUCCCACUGAUGCCAACUCCCACAUCAGCCUUUUGGAUCAUUGAAACAUCGUUAGCACCAUCCCCAAUGGAGAGUGUCAUGUCAGAAGUCCUAUUCUUUACAAGCAUAACAAUUCCAGCUUUCUGCAGUGGAGCAACCCGGCAGCAUAAUACCACUGAACAUUUACUGGCUAAUUCAAAGAGCUGUUCUUCAAGUUCACUGUCAAGUAUAUAAACAAGGCUGGUUCCAUCAAUAAUCAAGGCCACUGGGCUCACAGCAUCUCCAGAAUUUCCUCCAUUGUUGUGUGUUGUCCCAGACACAGUGAUGAGCUUCUUAGACAUGCGCAAGGCAUCUUCUAAACUCUUUCUACUUGACUCCUUAGAGUUGCUAUUGAUAAUAAUCUGUGUCAUUUUACUUGUUAGGAGCUUUGAGGAGUAGCCAAUUGAUAUAGCAGUUUCUUGCUUGUCCCCAGUUAGAACCCAUACUUUAAUCCCCGCUGUUCUAAGAGACUCUAUGGCUUCUGGGACACCUUGCUGUAGUUUAUCUUCAAUGGCAGAAGCACCCAGUAUUCUAAGACUCUUUUCCACAGUGUUAGCAACCUUGCGAAGCAUAGCAGCCCUGCCAAUUAAAGAAGUGCUAGCUGCCUCAAAGGAAGAGUGCCACUGCUCAAAUUCUGAAUCACUCAAUUC